UACGUAGGGGGCUAGCGUUGUCCGGAAUCAUUGGGCGUAAAGAGCGUGUAGGCGGUCCGGUAAGUCCGCUGUGAAAGUCGGGGGCUCAACCCUCGAAUGCCGGUGGAUACUGUCGGGCUAGAGUGCGGAAGAGGCGAGUGGAAUUCCAGGUGUAGCGGUGAAAUGCGUAGAUAUCUGGAGGAACACCGGUGGCGAAGGCGGCAUCCUGGACCGGCAUUGACGCUGAGGCGCGAAAGCCAGGGGAGCAAACGGG
rnacentral:rRNA from 1 species